rnacentral:rRNA from 1 species
UGGCGAAUGAACAGAGAUAAGCUCGGUGUGUAAAUCUGGGCCUCUGGUCCUGAGUUGUAGCCUGGGGAUUUGGCACCAACGGAGGCGCAAGUGUAAGCCCCUUGGAAAAGUGCAUCAAUGUGGGUGAGAAUCCUGUGUAUCACAUGCAGCCCACCGUGUACGGUGUCAUUUCUAAGAGUCACGUUCCUCGGAAUUGGAGCGCAAAGUGGGUGGUAAAUUUCAUCUGAAGCUGAAUAUUGGCUUGAGACCGAUAGCAAACAAGUACCAUGAGGGAAAGGUGAAAAGGACUUUGAAAAGAGAGUUACAAGUGCCUGAAAUCACUGAGAGGGAAGCGAGUGGAGCCAAAUUGUGUAGCAGAUUGUUGCAUGCAUUUGUGUGCAAUGUUUCUAGCUGCAUGGGUCGACACGAGUUUAAAGUCGAGGACAAUUUCAAGGGCAUGGUAGUCUGCUUCUGAGCGGUUGAACACUCUUGGAAAAGCUUGCGCUUAGACUGGGGUAAGCAAGUGCCUUGUUACAAUGUGGCUGUCCAUGUCCUCAAGGCGCUAAUGUGACUAAAUGGUUCCACUCGGCCCGUCUUGAAACACGGACCAAGGAGUCUAACAUAUGUGCAAGUUUGCAGGCGAGAAGCUUGGCUGCAAAAUGAAAGUGACUGCUGGGAUAUUUGCACCAGCAACUGACCUAUCAAUCGCGAGACAUUUGAGUGUGAGCACAUCUGCUAGGACCCGAAAGAUGGUGAACUAUGCCUGAGAAGGGCAAGCUCAGGGGAAACUCUGAUGGAGGCUUGUAGCGAUACUGACGUGCAAAUCGUUCGUCAUACUUGGGUAUAGGGGCGAAAGACUAAUCGAACCAUCUAGUAGCUGGUUCCCUCCGAAGUUUCCCUCAGGAUAGCUGGAGUUGAACAGUUUUAUCAGGUAAAGCGAAUGAUUAGAGGAAUCGGGGACGUGUUGUCCUCGACCUAUUCUCAAACUUUAAAUGGGUAAGAUCCAGUGGUUACUUGGUUGAACUUCUGGGAUGAAUGACAGCUCUAAGUGGGCCGCUUUUGGUAAGCAGAAUUGGCGAUGAGGGAUGAACCUAACGUUGGGCUAAGGUGCUUAACUGCACGCUCAUCAGAUACCAUAAAGGGUGUUGGUUCAUUUUAACAGCAGGACGGUGGUCAUGGAAGUCGAAAUCCGCUAAGGAGUGUGUAACAACUCACCUGCCGAAUGGACUAGCCCUGAAAAUGGAUGGCGCUCAAGCGGGUGACCGAUGCCCAACCAUUG